GGGCCUUUAGCUCAGUUGGUAGAGCGCCACGUUUACACCGUGGAUGUCAUCGGUUCGAGCCCGGUAGGGCCCAC
rnacentral:tRNA from 11 species